CCUUUUUGACUUAAGAGGGAGAGAGAGAGAAGCGGAGGCUGGGGGCUGGUGGACGCAUCGAGCUAUCCCUCGUCCCGAUUGUGAACUUGGCAGCGGCUGCUUGGCGUGAAUAACCCCAGUGGCCACUAACCAGGAACACCUGCUGGCCCUGUUACCCGGAACGGGAGGAGAAGAUGGGCAUCUCCAGCGGAAUUCCACCGCGGAAUAUGGAAGUGUUUAAAGGAAGACCUUCCCCGCUUAGGCUUUUCUUGAAGCCAUGGCAGGAGCUGUGCUGGAAAUGGUGCCGUGGGAGUCUGUAUCCCAGGUCAGGAGACCAGACAUCAAAUCCCCGGUGCAUCUUGGCAGCUGGGAACGCUCCAACAGACCAGGAAUGCUCCAGCAAAGCCUGCCAAAGCAGCUGCUGGGAGCACACCACCAGCGGUGC